rnacentral:rRNA from 1 species
GGUGUGCAAUUGUUGGCUCCUCCCUACUGCCGAUAAUGCGCUCCUGGCCUUAAUUGGCCGGGUCGUGCCUCCCGCGCUGUUACUUUAAAAAAAUUAGAGUGCUCAAAGCACCCACACUCUCUAUACACUUUAGCGGGAGAAAACAUCAUAAGAUUCAUAUCCUAUUGUGUUGCCCUUCGGGAUCAGAAUAAUGAUAAACGGGCACUGUCGGGGGUAUUCAUAUUUCAUACACAGAGGAAAAAUUCUUGUAUUUAAGAAAGAAAAACAACUGAAAACGCAUUUGCCGGGGAUGUUUUCAUUAAUCAAGAAAGAAUUUUGGGGGCUCAAACACGAUCAUAUACCGUCCUACUCUCAAACAUAAACUAUGGACACCAGGGAUCAGCGGAUGUUGCUUUUAAGACUCCUCUGGCACCUUAAGAGAAAUCAAAGUUUUUGUGUUCCGGGGAGAGUAUAGUGUCAAGGGGGAAAAAUAAAGGAAAAGAGGGAAGGGCACCCCCCGGAGAGGAGCCCGCGGGUUAAUUUUUGUCUACACGGGGGGAAAUUCCCCAUCCCCAGAUAGUAAGAAGAUUGACAGAGAGAGAUCUUUUUUGAGAUUAUGGGUGUGGUGGUGCAUGGCCGUUUAUUAGUUGGAGGAAUUAUUUGGGUUAAUUAUUCUAUUAAAGAAGACGACCUCAGCCUGCUAACUAAUUAUAGGAGGUACACCUCCACGGCUUGUUUGAGGGAGGAAGUACGGC